ensembl:lncRNA
AAUCAAAGGGAUGGGGCUGGAGAACUGUAAGGACUGAUCAUACAUGAUAUCAAAAUUAGAGUUUUAACAACAUUUUGAGGCUAUAUAGUGUUUAUUUAAAUGUUCAUCGUUUACAAAUACUGGUGUAAAACAAGCUUAUAUUUUGGUUCUGAUGGAGUAUGACAGUUAAUCUAAGCUCAUGAGGCAUUUAUGAAUUAUAUUAUUCAAGAAUUAAUGGGUACAUUUCAACUUCUAAUUCCAAAAAUGGAUGCAGCAACUGCUGAUUGCCCUAACCUUUGAUGCUUGCAGAUCUGAAACAGUCUGGAUAGGCAUAACCAGUGUAGUAGUGGUGGAGUCCCACCAUAUUGCCUACUCCUUACGUAUCUGCAAACAUGCUAAGGUCAGAUCCACGUACUGGUUAGUACCAAGGGCGUAGAGGUAGGGAGCAUAUUGGGACCAACUGCAAGACAAGAGUUGGGCAAACUGAGAGGAGUAAAUUAAUGACCAGACAAAUACCAUAUACCAAGAACCUGUGCUACUUGUCAGGUGUCAGUGCUGUUAUCCAAUCAACAGACAACAGAACGAUCAGGUGCCAAUGCUGUUACCUAAUAAAAAAGACAACAGAACAGUGAGUGCUUUUACUUAAUCAACAGAACUGUCAGGUGUCAGUGUUGUUCCCUAAUCAACAGAACUGUCAGGUGUCAGUGUUGUUCCCUAAUCAACAGAACUGUCAGGUGUCAGUGUUGUUCCCUAAUCAACAGAACUGUCAGGUGUCCAGUGUUGUUCCCUAAUCAACAGAACUGUCAGGUGUCAGUGUUUUCCCAUCAAACGAACUGUCAGGUGUCAGUGUUGUUCCCUAAUCAACAGAACUGUCAGUGUUGUUCCCUAAUCAACAGAACUGUCAGGUGUCCGUGUUGUUCCCUAAUCAACAGAACUGUCAGGUGUCAGUGUUGUCCCUAAUCAACAGAACUGUCAGGUGUCAGUGUUGUUCCCUAAUCAACCGAACUGUCAGGGUGCAGUGUUGUUCCCUAAUCACCAGAACUGUCAGGUGUCAGUGUUUCCUAUAUCAACAGAACUGUCAGGUGUCAGUGUUGUUCCCUAAUCAACAGAACUGUCAGUGUUGUUCCCUAAUCAACAGAACUGUCAGGUGUCAGUGUUGUUCCCUAAUCAACAGAACUGUCAGGUGUCGGUACUGCACACAACAUGCAACCUGAGAACACUGCUUUAGUGAAGACAUUAAGCAGCACAGGCCAGUGAUGUCAGAUUUUUGCUUAAUAAAUGCUAUUAGUGGUGCCAUAGUAAAAAUGUCAAUAUGUUUCAACAUUAGAUAACCUGCAGCAUAGUCUGGGCUGGCUAAUGCUAGAACAGAAUGGCAUCCAGGCUAUAGAUUGUUUCACAUCUAUAAAAAAACAGUCUCGUCGGUAUGAAAUGCAUUGAGCACCUAUGAUACUUUCUCUCUCUCGUUAACAGGUCCACACUAUCUAAGGGAGAUUAAAAGCUCCCCCCAUUUCAGGUAAACAAUGCACAGGAUUCAAAAGAAAACAGCAACAGAAAUGCCUUUAAUGUAAUUGUGAUCUGAAUGACAGUAGCCCCGAGGGCGAGGCUAGUCGGUUUAACAGAAUGAGAGAGUAUAUUGCAUAGGUUGUUAAUACCGGACAGUAUAGUAUGGAAACCCAGUAAAAACAAUCCAACUGCCAAGAUGACUCUCACACACUAAAAUACCCCUUAUUAAGCACUGAUCAAAGACCAAUCUAGCCUUUCAGCUCCUGAUGGCUGAAGUUUGUACUUAGAGUCUUCUACCUUUCAGUCUCUGCAGUUGGGAAAUACAUGAUUUGAUAUUGGAUUACUAUGAAAAAACAAAAACGGGCCAUGUUGUUAUAACAAAUAACACUAGCCAUGAUAGAAAACUUUGCCACAGCAUCCUAGACCUGUAUACAGAAAGGCAGCCAAUGUCGUCUUCUCCCCCUCCAUCUAUACAAAUGCUUUGAACAUUCAAAAAUGCUACAUUGCUCGACAGAUCCGUGACCUGCUAGUGAAAAACGUAUUUUCUGAAAAUGUGUAUAGAUCUAUUUUGUAAAGAAAUUGUAAUUCAAUAACUUGAAGUGCAAAUUUCAGAUUCUCUAAAAUGUAAUAUUAAUAAGAGCAAGUAACUAUUUUGGCUAAAAUAUAAAUAAACACACAAUUCAAGCAAAUACUUCUCCAUUAAAAAACAUUAAAAUAAUUGUCAAAUAUUGCAUUUUACCAAACCAUACUUAGUGACGCUCUGUUCAAUAAGCCAGGUUAUCAUGGAUCAGUUAAAGCCUUAAGUCAAAUUGUUGCACAACAGGAGUAGAGAUUUGCCUCAUGGUGGCAUAGCUAGAAAAAAACAGCCUCCCUGAGCAAAGUCACAUCAACACUACAAUUCAAAUAUUGAAUAAAACACUCAAAGCUUGGCAAAACACACCAUGCAUCCUUCAUGUUCUUCUUUUACAUUAAAUUCACAAUGAAAACAAAGGCUUUGUCCCAAAUGGCACUGUAAUCCCCAAUAGUGCACUACUUUUAACUAGGACCCAUAGGGCUCUGGUCAAUACUAGUGCACUAUUUAGGGAACGUGGUGCAUUUGGGAAGCACACUAGAGCCCCAUAAAUUAGUCAUAUCGAAUCAUAUGUAACAAAAGCAGUACUAGUGUUUCUGGGAAGUCACUUACUGUUAUUAUAAAUGACCGUCAAAGGAUAUAGAAUAAACAUACAGCCCCACUAACCCAUUGCAUUUCACACAUUCCUAACACUCCAAUCAAAUAUGUAUUCUAACAGGUCUACAAAACUCAAGUCCAUCUAUAGAUUCUAGCUAUUGCACAACAAGAUACUGUAUUAUUAUAGUUUGAACUGGUCUGUCUGGUGACAAGGCAAGUCAUCUCACAGUCAAUAAUAAGUUCAAGUUUUGGUUAAACAGCUCACAUCUACUUUGCUCUCAAAAGUACAACGGCCCACCACUAGACUAGCAGUUUCACUUAGCUCAGUAUACCACUGCAUGUAAAAUUCUUCAAUGCAUUGGCUUACAUAUUGAUACCUAGUUUGCUUCAUUGCAGGAAGGAAUGAUAUACACCUUCGCAUCACUCAAACGAUAACCUUUGAAUCAUUUAUGUGAUGUUCGUGGAUCAAGCCUCAAUUUCCCCUGAAACCUAUCAUACUGUAUUCUGGUCCCAGAUCUGUUGUUGCUCUUGUCAGCUCCAUUACUCAUUGUCAAGCCAAAUAUGGUUUGACACAAUCAGAGACAAUGAGUUGGCAUGAUAGCACAAACAGACUGGCACUCAGGCCAACCACACCACCCAUUGGCAGAAAAUGUAUUUCUCAGGAGUUCCAAGAGUAAUAUUUUGCCUGCUGAAGUGAGCUGUGGUAAGAGUAUUGAGAACAGGCGCAGAAUGAGAGCACAUUGAGAAUUUAUACAUAGGUCUCGAGAUAAAGCAGGACCAAAGACCAUUAUUACACAGACUUGACUUCACAGACACUAAAAAGACAGCUUAUAAUACUUUUCUAAAAUAGGCAACAAAAAAGUAGCAGUUAAAUAAAUAUUUGGGAGAAGCACAAAGAAAAUGUCCUCCUUUACUUUUCCACGUCUUUGAGUAGUGACUCACAGCAGGUUCCCAAGGUUGAACAGAGUGAAAGGUGAAGUGUCUGACCACCCACAUCUACCUGGGGUGCAUUCAUUAGUGCCAGUGUAGUAAAACAUUUUACAAUGAAAACAAGAAUUUCUAUUGGACAAAUUCAGAUAGGCCCUUCCCCGUUUUAAUCCAUUUGCUUCCUACUUAAUACACCACUGUACCUAUAAACUCUACUGACGGUGAUAAGCACAACCGUUGCCUUCUAACAUCACCUGGGGCUUAAUCAUUCAGAAAGAUGAACAGUAACAAAACGUUCAGAUAAAAAUACAUCAUUUAGAACAUACAUUC